rnacentral:rRNA from 1 species
GGAUCAUUACCGAGUUUACAACUCCCAAACCCCUGUGAACAUACCACUUGUUGCCUCGGCGGAUCAGCCCGCUCCCGGUAAAACGGGACGGCCCGCCAGAGGACCCCUAAACUCUGUUUCUAUAUGUAACUUCUGAGUAAAACCAUAAAUAAAUCAAAACUUUCAACAACGGAUCUCUUGGUUCUGGCAUCGAUGAAGAACGCAGCAAAAUGCGAUAAGUAAUGUGAAUUGCAGAAUUCAGUGAAUCAUCGAAUCUUUGAACGCACAUUGCGCCCGCCAGUAUUCUGGCGGGCAUGCCUGUUCGAGCGUCAUUUCAACCCUCAAGCACAGCUUGGUGUUGGGACUCGCGUUAAUUCGCGUUCCCCAAAUUGAUUGGCGGUCACGUCGAGCUUCCAUAGCGUAGUAGUAAAACCCUCGUUACUGGUAAUCGUCGCGGCCACGCCGUUAAACCCCAACUUCUGAA